rnacentral:rRNA from 1 species
GAGUUUGAUCGUGGCUCAGAUUGAACGCUGGCGGCAGGCCUAACACAUGCAAGUCGAGCGGAUGAAGGGAGCUUGCUCCUGGAUUCAGCGGCGGACGGGUGAGUAAUGCCUAGGAAUCUGCCUGGUAGUGGGGGAUAACGUCCGGAAACGGGCGCUAAUACCGCAUACGUCCUGAGGGAGAAAGUGGGGAAUCUUCGGACCUCACGCUAUCAGAUGAGCCUAGGUCGGAUUAGCUAGUUGGUGGGGUAAAGGCCUACCAAGGCGACGAUCCGUAACUGGUCUGAGAGGAUGAUCAGUCACACUGGAACUGAGACGCGGUCCAGACUCCUACGGGAGGCAGCAGUGGGGAAUAUUGGACAAUGGGCGAAAGCCUGAUCCAGCCAUGCCGCGUGUGUGAGAAGGUCUUCGGAUUGUAAAGCACUUUAAGUUUGGGAGGUAAGGGCAGUAAGUUAAUACCUUGCUGUUUUGACGUUACCAACAGAAUAAGCACCGGCUAACUUCGUGCCAGCAGCCGCCG